rnacentral:rRNA from 1 species
UACAGAGGUCUCAAGCGUUGUUCGGAUUCAUUGGGCGUAAAGGGUGCGUAGGCGGCGAGGUAAGUCAGAUGUGAAAUCCCGGGGCUCAACCCUGGAACUGCAUUCGAUACUGCCUUGCUCGAGGACUCGAGAGGAGAUUGGAAUUCACGGUGUAGCAGUGAAAUGCGUAGAUAUCGUGAGGAAGACCAGUGGCGAAGGCGGAUCUCUGGAGAGUUCCUGACGCUGAGGCACGAAGGCCAGGGGAGCAAACGGG